AUGGCCAAAUCAAGCUCAUGCACGCCUCCAGCCACCGCCCUUUCUCCGAUGCUCCGGCGCACUUCUGUUUCCUCCCAAUCCCUCCGCCAUGGAACCACGAGCUGCCACAAGACCGGCUGGGCACACGAGACGGAGGAAGGACCGCAGCCUCGCGUGCUCCAACGGUGGCGGCCGGACGGUGGCGACCGCGCCGCGGGGUGCUGGAACCGGGCUGCUGCUCGGCGAAAUAGCUGCAACCAGCGCUCACGACGCUGGAACCGGCCACCGCGGGUGCUGGAACGGGCAUCAAUUUUUGCUACGACUGGCGAGUUUUUUUGCUACCAUCAUCUUUUUUCUUCAUUGUUCAUGAGAAAUUAG
rnacentral:rRNA from 1 species